rnacentral:rRNA from 1 species
AUUGAACGCUGGCGGCAGGCUUAACACAUGCAAGUCGAACGAUAACAGGAAGAAAGCCUGCUUUCUUUGCUGACGAGUGGCGGACGGGUGAGUAAUGCUUGGGAAUCUGUUUUAUGGAGGGGGAUAACUACGGGAAACUGUAGCUAAUACCGCGUAAUAUCGAGAGAUUAAAUGUGUGGGACCGCAAGGCCACAUGCCAUGAAGUGAGCCCAAGUGGGAUUAGAUAGUUGGUGAGGUAAUGGCUCACCAAGUCGGCGAUCUCUAGCUGGUCUGAGAGGAUGACCAGCCACACUGGGACUGAGACACGGCCCAGACUCCUACGGGAGGCAGCAGUGGGGAAUAUUGCACAAUGGGCGCAAGCCUGAUGCAGCCAUGCCGCGUGAAUGAAGAAGGCCUUCGGGUUGUAAAGUUCUUUCGGUGGUGAGGAAGGUUGACGUGUUAAUAGCACGUUGAUUUGACGUUAGCCACAGAAGAAGCACCGGCUAACUCCGUGCCAGCAGCCGCGGUAAUACGGAGGGUGCGAGCGUUAAUCGGAAUAACUGGGCGUAAAGGGCACGCAGGCGGUGACUUAAGUGAGGUGUGAAAGCCCUGGGCUUAACCUAGGAAUUGCAUUUCAUACUGGGUCGCUAGAGUAUUUUAGGGAGGGGUAGAAUUCCACGUGUAGCGGUGAAAUGCGUAGAGAUGUGGAGGAAUACCGAAGGCGAAGGCAGCCCCUUGGGAAUAUACUGACGCUCAUGUGCGAAAGCGUGGGGAGCAAACAGG